GUGGCCGUCGCCGGGGUGAUUUUCACCUUCGCCUCCGCGAGCCCUCGCUGACCCAGGUUGGGAAGGCAGACAAGAGUAAAAUAUGAACGGAAGAGUGGAUUACUUGCUUACUGAGGAGGAGAUCAAUCUCACUAGAGGACCCUCAGGGCUGGGCUUCAACAUCGUCGGUGGCACAGAUCAGCAGUAUGUCUCCAAUGACAGUGGCAUCUUCGUCAGCAGCAUCAAAGAGAACGGGGCUGCAGCCCUGGAUGGGCGGCUCCAGGAGGGUGAUAAGAUCCUCUCGGUAAAUGGCCAAGACCUAAAGAACCUGCUGCACCAGGAUGCUGUAGACCUCUUUCGUAAUGCAGGCUAUGCUGUGUCCCUGAGAGUGCAGCACAGGUUACAGGUGCAGAAUGGGCCUAUAGGACAUCACGGUGAAGGGGAGCCAAGUGGUAUUCCCAUAACUGUGGUGCUGGUGCCAGUGUUUGCCCUCAUCAUGGUAGCAGCCUGGGCCUUCGUGAGAUACCGGCAGCGACUUUGAAAAGCUUGCUUUCUUCCAGUGCUCCCAGAGAAGAAGAUACAUUUCUCUCUUUCUCUCACCCUCCUCCCCUGCCGUUCUCCCAUAACUUUCCCUCUCUCUACAUAGCCAACACACGAUUUAAAGAGACUGCUACCCAACCAGAACCUUGCUGCUCGAAAUCUCUAAAUCCUCAUACUCUAGUGGGAGAGUAAAGGCAUUGUUUGAAGGAAAGCUGAAAGAAGGACUUGCUUAGAACAAAUGAAGAGUUAUAUAUUUUACUAGAACCACCAAUAGAAGUUCAGCUGCAACCCAGAGAGGGAGAGGUCCAGUCUUCCCAUCACCAUGCGUGAUUCCUUUUUUCUUACCUGGCAUGUGUCAAAGAUCAGCUGUAAUAAGAGGAAGAAAGGAUUUUUCUCUUUAAUGAUCUUCGUUGGGAAGUUUUUGUGUCCUUUAUUUAAUUUCUAACUACCUACUUGGGCACCUACUUUGUAUCAAACAAAGAGUCACAUGGAACAGCAAUCAUCUGAUGGCAGAAGAAGGAAAUGACUGAGAUAGCCAAAGGUAAUCAGAACUAUCUAGAAAAUAGCAAAGAACAAGAAAGGAAGCAAAACAACAACAGUUCUGGUUCAAGGUGACAACAUAGGAAAAUCCUGAUCUCACUUCUUCUCACACACUGAGUCUACAGCUACAUACAGAACAAUUUUCUCUUAAAAAAACCUAAAGACUGGCUAAGUGAUGACCACAUCAGGCAAACAAGAGGAAAACCACCUCAAACUGGGCUGGAGGCUGGGAUACAAUCUUGCCAUAAACCCCAUCCCCAGCACAGUGUCACUCAACCCAGAGAAAACUCAAAACCCGAAGCUUCUCCCUGAGGAGAAAAGGGUUUUAUUUCCACAUCAGUAACCUCAACUGUUAAGACCUGCACCAGAGAGAUGACCCCCAACAUCUUUGAAAACUAAUGGGACCCACAAGACUGUAGUAAUCUGGGAGACAUUUCUUAAAGGGCCCAUGCACUGAGAAGAGCACCAGGGCUUAGCUCAUCCAUCAGCCAAUCACACCCAGACUUAAAGUGAAAGAGACUGGAAGAUCAGGAACAAGACAAGGAUGACCACUAUCACCACUUUUAUUCAACACAGUAUUGGAAAUCCUAGCCACGGCAAUGAGACAAGAAAUAGAAACAAAAGGGAUCCAAGUUGAAAGGAAGAAGUAAAGCUGUCAUUGUUUGCAGAUGACAUGAUACUAUACAUAGAAAAUCCUAAAGACACCACUGGAAAACUACUAGAACUCAUCAAUGAAUACAGUAAAGUUGCAUAAUAAAAAAUUAAUAUACAAAAAUUUGUUGCAUUUCAAUACACUAACAAACUAUCAGAGAAAAUAAGAAAACAAUCCCAUGCAAAGAAUGAAAUACCUAGGAUAAAAUCUAAGGAGGUAAAAUGUACUUGGAAAACUAUAAGAAAUUAAUGAAAAAAAAUUGAAGACAAUACAAACAAAUGGAAAGAUAUACCAUGCUCAUGGAUUGGAAAAAUUAAUAUUGUUAAAAUGAACUUACUACCCAGGGCAGUCUACGGAUUCAGUGCAAUCCUUAUGAAAAUACCAAUAGCAUUUUUCACAGAACUAGAACAAAUAAUUCUGAAAUUUCCAUGGAAAUACAAAAGACCCUAAAUAUCCAAAGCAAUCUUGAGAGAGAAGAACAAAGCUGGAAGUAUCACACUUCCUGAAUUCAAACUAUACUACAAAACUACAGUAGUGAAAAACCCACAUUUAUGCAGAAAUUAACCUACAACAAAGGAGGCAAGAAAAUACAGUGGGGAACAGAUAACCUUUUUGGUAAAUUGUGUUGGGAAAACUGGACAGGAACAUACAAAAGAAUCAAACAGGACAACUUUCUCACCCUUUAUGUAUAAAUAAACUCAUAAUGGAUUAAAGACUCAAAUGUAAGACCUGAAAUCAUAAAACAUCUAGAAGGAAACAGAGAGAGUGCAUUCUUUGACAUUCUUCUUAGCAAUAUAUUUUUGGAUAUGUCUCCUUUGGCAAAGGAAACAAAAGAAAAAAUAAACAAAUGGAACCUAAUCAAAGUAAAAAGGUUUUGCACAGUGGCAGAAACUAUUGACAAAAUGAAAAGGCCGCCUAAUGAAUGGGAACAGAUAUUUGCAAAUGAUAUAUCUGAUGAGGGGUUAAUAUCCACAAUAUACAACUAAACAUGAAAAAAAAACCCAAUAAGCUGAUUAAAACAUGGGCAAAGGACCUGAAGAGUCUCCAAAGAAGACAUAUAGAUGGCCAACAGGCACAUGAAAAGAUGCUCAACAUUACUAAUCAUUAGAGAAAUGCAAAUCAGAGAUACAAUGAGAUGCGACCUCACAACUUUCAGAAUGGUUAUUAUCAAAAAGACAAGGAACAACGAGUGUCAGUGAAGAUGUGGAGAAAAGGGAACCCUCAUGCAUUGUUGGUAGGAAUUUAAAUUGGUGCAGCCACUAUGGAAGACAGUAUGGAGAUUUAUCAAAAGCUAAAAGUAAAACUACCAUAUGGUCCAGCAAUUCCACACCUGGGUAUAUAUAAGAAGAAAAGGAAAACGCUAAUUCAGAAGGCCAACAGCUGAAGUUUCUGUGGAAAUUCUAGAGGCCAGAAGAGUGUGGCAUCUGGCGUCAUAUAUUUAAAGUGUAGUAACCUUAAAUGAGUAUAAUCUAUAAAUAUAUUGAAUCACUGUGUUGUACACCUGAAAACAAUAUAAUAUUGUAA